AUGGAGUCAUACUGGAGGAUCUAGCAAAUGCCUAGAAAAAAUAACUUUAGGCAUUACUAGGACCUCCGGCUCGUCUGU
ensembl:miRNA aca-mir-5435c aca-mir-5435c